CUCGUAGGCGGCUAACUAAGUCGGACGUGAAAUCCCUCGGCUUAACCGGGGAACUGCGUCCGAUACUGGAUAGCUUGAGUGUGGGAGAGGGAUGCGGAAUUCCAGGUGUAGCGGUGAAAUGCGUAGAUAUCUGGAGGAACACCGGUGGCGAAGGCGGCAUCCUGGACCACGACUGACGCUGAGUGAGCGAAAGCCAGGGGAGCAAACGGGAUUAGAUACCCCGGUAGUCCUGGCCCUAAACCAUGAAUGCUUGGUGUGGCGGGUAUCGAUCCCUGCCGUGCCGAAGCUAACGCAUUAAGCAUUCCGCCUGGGGAGUACGGUCGCAAGGCUGAA
rnacentral:rRNA from 1 species